UACGUAGGUGGCGAGCGUUGUCCGGAUUUACUGGGCGUAAAGAGCGCGCAGGCGGUCGUGUAAGUCGAAUGUGACAGCCCCCGGCUUAACUGGGGAGGGUCAUUCGAUACUGUUCGACUUGAAGGCAGGAGAGGGCAGCAGAAUUCCCGGUGUAGUGGUGAAAUGCGUAGAUAUCGGGAGGAAUACCAGUGGCGAAGGCGGCUGCCUGGCCUGUUCUUGACGCUGAGGCGCGAAAGCUGGGGGAGCAAACGGG
rnacentral:rRNA from 1 species